AUUGAACGCUGGCGGCAUGCCUAACACAUGCAAGUCGAACGGCAGCACAGUAAGUUGUUGCUGGUGGCGAGUGGCGGUCGGGUGCGUGAUACAUAGACAUCGGUCUCGACGUUGGGGAGAGGGCGGACGAAGCGGGACUUAUACUGCUAACGCAUAAGGCCUACGAGCGGGAGCCGUGCAGCUUCGGAGCUUGCGGGUUUGCAGGAGGCGAUGGCGGAUUAGCUAGUUGGAGGGGUAAAGGCCGACCAAGGCGACGAUCAGUAGCUGGUCUGAGAGGAUGAUCAGCCACACUGGAACUGAGACACGGUCCAGACUCCUACGGGAGGCAGCAGUGGGGAAUAUUGGACAAUGGGCGAAAGCCUGAUCCAGCCAUACCGCGUGGGUGAAGAAGGCCUUCGGGUUGUAAAGCACUUUUGUCGGGAAAGAAAAGCAGCGGGUUAAUACCGCGCGGUUCUGACGGUACCGAAAGAAUAAGCACCGGCUAACUUCGUG
rnacentral:rRNA from 1 species